rnacentral:rRNA from 1 species
GAUGAACGCUGGCGGCAGGCUUAACACAUGCAAGUCGAACGCUCGUAGCAAUACGGGAGUGGCGGACGGGUGAGUAACGCGUGGGAACGUGCCCUGAGGUACGGAAUAACUGAGGGAAACUUCAGCUAAUACCGUAUGAGCCCCGAGAGGGGGAAAGAUUUAUCGCCUUGGGAGCGGCCCGCGUCGGAUUAGCUAGUUGGUGGGGUAACGGCCUACCAAGGCUUCGAUCCGUAGCUGGUCUGAGAGGACGAUCAGCCACACUGGGACUGAGACACGGCCCAGACUCCUACGGGAGGCAGCAGUGGGGAAUCUUGCGCAAUGGGGGCAACCCUGACGCAGCCAUGCCGCGUGAACGAUGAAGGCCUUAGGGUUGUAAAGUUCUUUUACCCGUGACGAUGAUGACGGUAACGGGGGAAUAAGCUCCGGCUAACUUCGUGCCAGCAGCCGCGGUAAU